UUCACUAAUAUUAUUACCUGCUAGAAACUUAAUAAUUUUGAGAAAAUAUUAGAGUUAUAUUGCAUCACUGACUUCUCCAAACUUUAAAUAGGAUCAUUCAUCAUUACUUCCUACAAUUCCAAAAUCCAAAGGCACAAUACUUCAUCAGAAACAAAUUCACUUCAAAUUAGACUACUCUAAAUGACUUUCAUGAAAACUGCUAAAUUACGGAAAAAUCAUACGUUCCUUGUGUUCGUCAGUGUUGUCACUGUAACCUUAAUAUAAAUAAGACAACACUAUUGCUUUAUAAAUGACAGCUGAUCCACCACUGCAUCUCUGCCACCCGCAAGAAAGGUCAUAACAGCCAAAAGAAGUCUUACAGUUGCAGCAUGGGUCACAGAUCUGAUAAGAUUUGCUGGGUAUUUACUCAACAAAUGCCAAAAACUGAAGUCUUAAACACAUGAUAAAAUCUUCUAGCUACACUUGAAAUCUGCAAGCAUUAAACUCAUCCAGCUCAUGCCUUUUAUCCCCACUUAAAACCUAUAAAAUAGUGUGGCUUAGAUAAAUGACAUUUGUGUUCUACUUACAAGUCACCUUCAGUUAACGUAAGGGCCAAGGAAUGACUCAUCAAGUAAGGAGGGGAGCAGUCCUCUAUUCACCCCUCCUGCAAUCCCCAAAGACUUCAGGUAACUGGUAUUAUUCUGUUUUUUUUUUUUCAUUCUAAAUAUUGCCUCUUUCUUUUCACUUGGAUUUUUUUCCAUCCUUUGAUUCAUUCCAAAUUUUAAGUUUUGUUUUCCUUCCUCUUUCAUUUUUUUCACGUUCGUCUUGUUUUAUAGUGUUUUGCUCUUUCCAAUUUACUCAUGUUUUCUUCCUCUAGUUUAUUGCCCGUCAUACUCAUUCUAUCUUAUAUAUGGUAUGCUGUGACAGAUUUUGGGCUUUUUGCAAUCUGCUAUUGACAACAAUCAAUUCACAUCAUAAGCAACAAAAGCCUCACACAACAGAAGCUCUAGCUGACAUCUCUUGCCACAAAAACUAGAGAAAUAGCUGAACUUAAAGAAACUACUUUUUUUAAUCUCUGACAAGCUGUUUCCACCCCUAAUAGUUGUUUGAAUAAUCCCCAGUCAAGCACCUGUUGGUUUGGUCUUCAUCACAAAUUCUGUACUUGGGAUUCAAACCCAUGCAUAGCAGGUAAGUUCAUUCAUAUAAACCAUCAAUUGAAUCACACCUAAUUGAUUAACUAAACAAAAAUGUGUUAAAGCAAAAUACCUCUUCACAGUAAUAGAAGAGAACAAACCUAUGUUGACACAAAGCACCCAUUAAAUAACAGCAAGGUAGAUGAAAAGACAAAUAUACAUUAACUUUCUUUACUAAUAUUUUUUAGUAUAUUUAUGUCCCGCACAAUUUUUGUCUGUAAAUUUAUAACCAUAAAAAAAAUAUCAUUACAAAUUAGAUUGAAAAUAAAUAUGAAAUUUUAUAAUAAUACUUACUGCCGCUAGAUUCUAGCACCAAUGCAAAAACAUCCACAGUUGUCUUGGGGAAACUUUCCAGUAUUAUUGCACCCUCCAAAGCUUUAUUAAGCAUUGCACUGUACUCUUUGUGGUCUGAACCCUAGCUUCGUGAGGUUUAAUAUAUUAGAGGUCACUUCAACUAGCGAUGAAGAUGGAAGAAACAGAAAAAAUUACACAGCCUUUCAUAUACCUGCCCUCGCACUGGAGUUGCAAAUGUUGUAAAGCUGACAUUGCAAUUCAAACGCCCUGUAUCACUGUACAUCAUUGCCUUCUUG
rnacentral:lncRNA from 1 species